UACAUGUGGGGCAAGCGUUGUUCGGAAUUACUGGGCAUAAAGGGUGCGUAGGCGGCUUGUUAAGUCAGGGGUGAAAUCCCACGGCCCAACCGUGGAACUGCCUUUGAUACUGGCGAGCUUGAGUGCGUGAGGGGUAACCGGAACGAGUAGUGUAGCGGUGAAAUGCGUAGAUAUUACUCGGAAGGCCAAAGGCGAAGGCAGGUUACUGGUACGCAACUGACGCUGAGGCACGAAAAGCGUGGGGAGCAAACAGG
rnacentral:rRNA from 1 species